UCAGAUGCGCGUAUCGCGCCGGCCCCCCGCCCCCGAGCAGCUCCGUAGCAGCAGGGAAAGGCCGGGGCCUGCGCCCAGGGGAGUAAGUGGCAGAGUAAGGAAUGUGCGAAGCUCUGCGAGAACGCAGAGGAGCUCCGGGGAGAGGAAACUGGAGCUAGGUCUCAAAGGAUGAAUAGGAGUUUGCUGGCAGAGAGGAAGGAGAAGGGCACUGGAGGCACUGGGAUGUUGUCUGAACGAUUACUGAGCGUCUAUUGCAUGCCAGGCCCUGUGCUAGGCCUCGAAGAUAGACAGCUGAGCAAAACAGCCGUGGUCUGCCUGUGAUGAGGGGCUCCGGGCGAGUCACACCCAGAGAACGGCUGGAGCCCUGAAACCCGGCCAAGCCAGAGCCGGAGACCUGAAGUCAGGAACCAGCGCGCCUACAAAACGCGGCUCCGGAUCUUCCUCUGAUUCAGUCUGAUUCGUGACCCUCGGCCUCUGGCAGGUUCCAGGGAGUGGAUUGACAUCUGAGAUGCCCCCCAGCUUGCUGACGCCCCUGCUUCCCUCCACCGAGGGAAAACUCACUUUGCAUCGCUGGUCAGUGUUCUGAGGGAGAAAGCUGAAGUCCACUGCAGGCCUGGUGGGAAGGAGCCUGGCCAGGAGGUUUCACAGACCUGUGUCACCUCCAGAGAAGGAGGCGAGAAUGGUAAUCUCAACCCAUGGAAGUCCUGUCAACCCCACAGCCCACAGCUAUGUCAAUUCCUGCAGGAGCUGCAUGAGGUCCCUUCACUCAGAAGCCUAUGGACGCGUUCAUGCCACCCUCAUAAUGGCAGGCCAAAAAGCAUGGCACCAGCCCGGCCCUCCCCGCCCCUCCCUGCGCUGGCCUCUCCAGCUCUUCUUCCUUUGCCUCAGCUCUCCCUCCAUCCCUUCCCUCCAUUAAAGUUCUCUUAUAAUUGGUUCAAGUAAAUAAGCUUCCUGAAUGGGUUCACUGCAUCCCCUCAGAAUCCCAGGGCCAGGAAGGCCUCCAACUUCCUGUUGUGAGAAUUAGGUCAUUAAAUCAAUGGGGUCGCCUGCUGGGGCGAGGGCUCAGUUCCCCCAGAGGCAGCAGGCUGGCCGCCUCCUGGCCUCCAGAGCCUGCAGGUCCUUACCGCCCAGCUCUGGGGAUGACUAUCCUUGGGAUCCGGCUGGGAGGCUCGAAGCAUGGCCUCCUGGGUGAAAAUUCUUCCUACAGACCCUUAAGAAAAUAAGUUUUAGGGGGCACCUGGGUGGCUCAGUCGGUGAAGCAUCUGCCUUCAUAUCAGGUCAUGAUCCCAGGGUCUUGGGAUCGAGCCCUGCAUGGGGCUCCCUGCUCAGCGGGGAGCCUAUUUCCCCCUCCCCUCCCUCUGUGUGCUUGCUCUCUCUUUCGCUCUCUCUCUCAAAUAAAUAAAAUUUAAAAAUCUUUAAAAAAAAAAAAAAGAAGAAGAAGCUAUAGGAUUACUGCCUCCUUUCUCCUGUAAGCUUUCAACAUAUAGGUGUGCGUUAAUUUGCAUAAAACAUAGGCAUGUUUGUUUACCUCAAAACCAUACGCAUACCAUUGCUACAAAUUGCAAGGAUCCAUUCUACCCACACGUGCCAUUAGCCACACUGUUUGUUUGGAUAACUGC